GAUGAAGAACGUAGCGAACUGCGAUAAGUAAUGUGAAUUGCAGAAUUCAGUGAAUCAUCGAGUCUUUGAACGCACAUUGCGCCCCCUGGCAUUCCGGGGGGCAUGCCUGUCCGAGCGUCAUUGCUGCCCUUCAAGCCCGGCUUGUGUGUUGGGUCGUCGUCCCCCCCGGGGGACGGGCCCGAAAGGCAGCGGCGGCACCGCGUCCGGUCCUCGAGCGUAUGGGGCUUUGUCACCCGCUCGAUUAGGGCCGGCCGGGCGCCAGCCGGCGUCUCCAACCUUCUAUUUUACCAGGUUGACCUCGGAUCAGGUAGGGAUACCCGCUGAACUUAAGCAUAUCAAUAGCGGAGGA
rnacentral:misc_RNA from 1 species